rnacentral:lncRNA from 1 species
CAAGCAUGCACACAAUAUACAGAACUACCAAGGACAAGGUGUUUUGUUGGCUUUAUUUUUUAUUAUUGCACUAUAGCAGCACCCUUUUAUCUACUCUGGGCUGUUAGAUACCAUUUUGAGAUACCUGCUGGUGGCAAUAUUUUCACAUUGGUCUAAUUGUAGGAAAAUCAUUGUGCAGACACAAGAUGUGCUUUCUGAGGUGUACCCAGGAAAGGAAAGCUUUACAGAUGCCUCGUUCCAUUUCUCAUAGGCCAUCCAGAUAGAAGGAUAAGAGUAGAAGAGCACUGUGGGUCUGUUCAGGAAGUCUGAACAGCUGAACCAAUAGAAAAAAAAAGAUGAAUCAUCUUGUUUCAAAACUGCUCCUUGGGAGGAUUUGCUACCACAUUGUUGUUGCAGGACCAGCUGGUAUAGAGGACCAAAGGCUUCCUGGGCAAGCCACCGUGGGGCUCCCUGUUCCCCAGGUCUGCGGAGAUGACCCCCUCACUCAAGACUCGCCCUCCACGAGCACAGACUCUGGCAACAGAGAACAUCAUGCCAGUCUAAAUAAAGGUCUUCCCAGCUGUGAUGGGGAAGAGAAAGUUGAAUGGAGGCUACUGGAUAGCAGAAAGCAGAUAUUUCACGUGGAUGUACUUGGCAGACAUGCUCAGACCAAGAAAAAAGCUGCUGCUUACAAAAUAUGCUAA